rnacentral:lncRNA from 1 species
UCAAUGAAUUUCUCAGCACUAGCAAAUUUCAAAACAAAUUUCAUCCACCAUCACUGGGUCCUUGUCUCAGCAUCAACCAUUCCAAAACAAACUCUGUCCACUGAUUGUUCCCACCAUUCGACCAAUUCAUCCUUGUACUCAUCACUUGGUUGUAUCACUUUUCAAGAUUUGCCCCAUCAUAUUCUCUAUUUGGUCACAUCAUACAUCCUUUUAAAUCAUCUCUUUUAGGUUUCUACCAUUUUUUCAUCAUCUUAGAUUUCUUUUCAAAUGAAUGUAAGAUUCUUUUAAACACAUAUUCAUUCAUUCAUUAUCAUUUCAAUUCUUGACAAAUAUAAUGCAAUCAAGCAUUUUCUCAAUUCAUU